rnacentral:rRNA from 1 species
GAUGAACGCUGGCGGCGUGCCUAAUACAUGCAAGUCGAGCGAACGGACGAGAAGCUUGCUUCUCUGAUGUUAGCGGCGGACGGGUGAGUAACACGUGGAUAACCUACCUAUAAGACUGGGAUAACUUCGGGAAACCGGAGCUAAUACCGGAUAAUAUUUUGAACCGCAUGGUUCAAAAGUGAAAGACGGUCUUGCUGUCACUUAUAGAUGGAUCCGCGCUGCAUUAGCUAGCUGGUAAGGUAACGGCUUACCAAGGCAACGAUGCAUAGCCGACCUGAGAGGGUGAUCGGCCACACUGGAACUGAGACACGGUCCAGACUCCUACGGGAGGCAGCAGUAGGGAAUCUUCCGCAAUGGGCGAAAGCCUGACGGAGCAACGCCGCGUGAGUGAUGAAGGUCUUCGGAUCGUAAAACUCUGUUAUUAGGGAAGAACAUAUGUGUGAGUAACUGUGCACAUCUUGACGGUACCUAAUCAGAAAGCCACGGCUAACUACGUG